rnacentral:rRNA from 1 species
UACGAAGGGGGCUAGCGUUGUUCGGAAUCACUGGGCGUAAAGGGCGCGUAGGCGGCUGUUCAAGUCGGGGGUGAAAUCCUGUGGCUCAACCACAGAAUGGCCUUCGAUACUGGACGGCUAGAGACCGGAAGAGGUGAGUGGAACUGCGAGUGUAGAGGUGAAAUUCGUAGAUAUUCGCAAGAACACCAGUGGCGAAGGCGGCUCUCUGGGACGGUACUGACGCUGAGACGCGAAAGCGUGGGGAGCGAACAGG